UACAGAGGGGGGCAAGCGUUGUUCGGAAUUACUGGGCGUAAAGGGCGCGUAGGCGGCCUGCUAAGUCGAACGUGAAAUCCCUGGGCUCAACCCAGGAACUGCGUCCGAUACUGGUUGCUUGAGGCCGGGAGAGGCGAGUGGAAUUCCCAGUGUAGCGGUGAAAUGCGUAGAUAUCGAGAGGAACACCUGCGGCGAAGGCGGGUAGCUGGGCCGACACUGACGCUGAUGCGCGAAAGCCAGGGGAGCGAACGGG
rnacentral:rRNA from 1 species